GGAUGACGAAAUGCUCGCUGAAAUUGCACACCUUCUGAUGCGAUGCCUAAGCAUGAACGGGGAAGAACGACCAACGAUGAAGGAGGUAGCAGAGAGGCUGGAGAGGCUGAGGAGAUACCAGCAGCACCCUUGGGCUGAAGCUGACCGCAAUGCCGAGGAGAAUCAGAGCUUGCUCAGCAUGGAACAGCUGAAUUCCAAUUACCAAUUCAGGCAGCAUGAUGUUCUUGAUCUGGAAGAAGUAAGUACAUAUACGUUUAGUUUGUAAUUCAGGCCAGGACUGCAGAACUGGAAGUUCAGUCGGGUAGUCAUAGUCAUAGUCCAAGUACACGUUUUCUUACAUUUGGGGCACCUUUCACGUUCGCCUUCAAGGCCUGAUGGUUUCCUCACUGAGCCUGAGCCAUCUAUGCAAUUUCUCUGCAAAGCUGCCUCUACACUUCCAUUAAUUCCUUGCUAUAACGAGAAAGAACA
rnacentral:lncRNA from 1 species